rnacentral:lncRNA from 1 species
AUAUAUCAAAAGGAAUAAAGGGGUUCAUGCAUCAUGGGGAAUGUUUUCAUGCUUCAUGGAUAUUUCAAAUAUCUUCCUUUAUUUUAAGCGUACCCGAUUGACAGAAAACAAAUAAGAGUCUUUGAAUUUUAUAGAAGAUAGCCUCCUUCUACGAUCCGUCAGUUCCUCAGCUUCUGGCAAUAGUGUGCUGAUAAUGUGUUGUAGGCCUAUUUAAUUGAGCUAUUCUAAGGGAAUAGAGAGAGGGAGGCCGGCGGUAGUGAGAGAGAGAAGAGAAAGAUUUAAUUGUGAGGUGUGUGUUGUAUCACCCCCAUUGUGUCUUUAUUUAUAGUAGUAGGAUAGGUAAAAUUUUUACCCUUUUAGGAUUACAACUCUAAUAGGAAUUAGACUACUAAAAGGAAUAUAAAAUAUAUUCCUAGAUACAUUUGAAUUUACACAAUCACAUUUCUAUUCUACAUAUGACUGCAACAUUUAUGAAUUUAAUGGAUUAAUUAUAUAAUUUAAUUUGUUAGUCGAAUACAUAUGUCAAAUAAUAAAUAUAAAAUAUAAAUAGAGAAAGCAAAUAGUGAAGAUAGAAAUCACUUCUCUUUUUUAAAAUUUGACUAUUUCUAAUAUUAGCUACCAAGUUUGGAGUUAUAUCAAGUUUUCUCUUUUAUAUUUGUGACCCAAACUCAUAAAAAAACCAUAAUUAUGUUUUGUUUUAUCGUCUAAACUGGACUCGGGUGAAGCAAACAAACAUUGAAAGCAUCCAUGGAAAUGUUCAUUAACACAUGAUAAUAAAAACGUAGUAGAAUUCUCUCCUUUAAAUUUCCUUCCUCUUUAGUUUGUUCAUAUUUGAACGGUCACAAUUAAAUUAAGAGGAAAAUGAGAAAAGAAAAAAGAAAGGGGACAUGAUUUGGAAGAGAGAAAAUCUUACUCCAUUAGGAACACUAAAAUAUUAGUAAAUCCGUAAUAUUCAACUAAACCUGUUAAUUGAGAGCAUAUAUAUAUAUAUAUAUAUAUAUAUAUAUAUAUAUAUAUAUAUAUAUCUUUGGAUUGAUGUUGCCUAGAUUUGGAUCCUUACCAUUAAUAUAACCAAAACUAAGACUCUUAUGAAACCCUAGCAACUGCCAUAUCUCACUAUUAUUUAUAGCAUAAUCAUAUCGACUUUUCAAAUUACAAAUUCCAUACGAUGGAGUCCCCUCUUGGUUAUGCGUUAACAUUCUUCUUUGCUUGUAAUUUGUUUUUUCUCCUCUCAUCUCCUUCACCAGCCAAUGCAUCAGCAGAUCAAUUGGUCGAUGGUGUUUGCCAAAAAUCCAUAAAUAAUACCGAGUGCAUGGAAGUUCUCCACUCCGAUCCAUCAAAUCGGCAUCCACUUACAUAUUUCUUUAUCAAGUCGCCCUCGAUCUAGCCAUAGUGAAUGCAAAAGAUAGCCAAGCAUUCAUCAACAAUUUACUCAAGAGUGAUCCAUCGGAGCCUAUUAAGCAAUGUGCUGCUUCAUACGAAUCAAUGGGUGCUUCAUCCGGAACGCAAAAGUUGAGAUAUACGAGGAUCCUUUGACGGUCAACUAUGAUGUCAAAAUUGCUGGAAAUGAUGCAGGUAACUGUGAAACUGCCUUUAAGUUCUAAAGGAGUAAGAUUUCCUAAAAUAUCUGCUAGAAACCUUUUUGUACUGUUAUAUAGUAGUAUUGGGGAUGUAAUCACAAGUCAGAUUGAUAUUGACUAUCUAUCUGCAGAUAUAUUCUAAUAAAAAGAAUCAGAAUUUCUUCUAAUACAAGGCUUUUUUUCUUAUUGAUUUUUGGCAACAAGGGUGAUUUCUCCUUAAAUAUAUUUCUCACAUCAAUUUAUACAAGGCUAAAUAGCCAAAAUGGUCCCUGAGAUUUGCAUAACUCAUCACUUUGGUUCCUCAGAUUCCAAAUCAAUAAAAGUGGUCUCUGAGAUUGUCCACCAUCCAUCAUUUUGGUCAUUCCGUUAAAAACUCUGUUAAAUGUCCCAGAGCUCUUGGCCGGAAGUUUGGGCAAUUUUCAAAGCUUCGUAACUCAAUUGUUUCUUAACCAAAUUAGACCCAUAAUAUAUCAAAAUGAAGAUAGGAAAGUGUAGAAUAAGAGUAUACCUAUUUGGAAGCCCAAUGGUUGCUGAGAUGGCUGGAAAAUAGCCUCAAAGUUAACUGGUCUGAGGGAAAACUUGAAAACUC